GGAUGAUGGAACCUGUUGAGUAGGAGACGCCUGAGAGAUGGUCACAGGAAGCUGUGCAGCAGGAAGUUGCACAGAUGAGACCUGAGUUCAACAGGGAGACCUGAACUGAAGGCAGGGAUCUGGGAAGCAGCGGCAUUCACGUUCCCAGUGAGGACAGUGGAAGAAGACCUCAGGUCCUGAAAAACACCAACAGCUGAAGGGCCAGCAGAGGAACCUGUGCCCUCAGAGAAGGUUUAAAAUCAUAGCAAGGAACAAUGAUGGUGUUGAGAGUUUCAAAAGACAGGAGUCUCUGGGAGGCCAAGUAGAAUAAGGAGUGAAAUUUACCUAUUGAAUUUGGCAACCUGGACGUCAGAAGUCACACGGCCCUGGCUGAUGGAGUCUUGCUGUGUUUCCCAGCUGGAGUACAGUGGUGUGAACUUGGCUCACUG
rnacentral:lncRNA from 10 species